GACGAACGCUGGCGGCGUGCUUAACACAUGCAAGUCGAACGAAGUGGCGAAAGGGUGAGUAACGCGUGAUCAACCUGCCCUUCAGAGGGGGACAACAGUUGGAAACGACUGCUAAUACCGCAUACUGGAGGAGGUGAUUGCGUCUGAGUAGCUCGUUGGGGGGGUAACGGCCCACCAAGGCGAUGAUCAUUAGCCGGUCUGAGAGGAUGAACGGCCACAUGGGGACUGAGACACGGCCCAGACGCCUACGGGAGGCAGCAGUGGGGAAUCUUCCGCAAUGGACGAAAGUCUGACGGAGCAACGCCGCGUGAGUGAUGACGGCCUUCGGGUUGUAAAGCUCUGUUAAUCGGGACGCGGUACCGGAAUAGAAAGCCACGGCUAACUACGUGCCAGCCGCCGCGGUAAUUC
rnacentral:rRNA from 1 species